AUGGUGUUCAGGCGCUUUUUGGAGGUUGGUUGGAUAGCCUAUGUCUCCUUUGAACCUCAUGCUAGAAAAAUCGUGGUGAUCAUAGAUACUAUUGAUCAGAAUAAGGCUUUGGUUGGUGGACCUUGCAGUCAAGUGAGGAGACAGGCCAUGCCUUUCAAGUGCAUGAAGCUCACUGACUUCAUCCUCAAGUUUCCACAAGGUGCCGGCCAGAAAUAUGUCCAACAAGCCUGGCAGAAGGCAGACAUCAAUACAAAAUGGGCAGCCACACGAUGAGCCAAGAAGAUCGAAGCCAGAGAAAGGAAAACCAAGAUGACAGAUUUUUAUCAUUUUCAAGUUGUGAAGGCAAAGAAAAUGAGGAACAGACUCAUCAAGAAUGAAGUUAAGAAGCUUCGAAAGGCAGCUCUCCUGAAAGUUUCUCCCAAAAAAGCACCUGCUGCUAAGAGUGCUGCUGCUUCUACAGCUGCUGCUAAAGUUCUAGCAAAAAAGAUGACCGCUGAGAGCAAGAAGGCUCCAGCUCAGAAAGCCAUAGGUCAGAAGGCAGUACCCUAAAAGCUCUGAAGGGUCAAAAAGCUCCAGCCCAGAAAACACCUGCUUCAAAGGCAUCUGACAAGAAAGCAUAAGAGGCAAUUAUAAAAAGUAACAAUGGUUCCUUUUGGGAAAAAAAAAAAAAAAAAGA